rnacentral:rRNA from 1 species
GUUAAUGAGGCGAACCGGGGGAACUGAAACAUCUAAGUACCCCGAGGAAAAGAAAUCAACCGAGAUUCCCCCAGUAGCGGCGAGCGAACGGGGAGGAGCCCAGAGCCUGAAUCAGUGUGUGUGUUAGUGGAAGCGUCUGGAAAGGCGCGCGAUACAGGGUGACAGCCCCGUACACAAAAAUGCACAUAUUGUGAGCUCGAUGAGUAGGGCGGGACACGUGGUAUCCUGUCUGAAUAUGGGGGGACCAUCCUCCAAGGCUAAAUACUCCUGACUGACCGAUAGUGAACCAGUACCGUGAGGGAAAGGCGAAAAGAACCCCGGCGAGGGGAGUGAAAAAGAACCUGAAACCGUGUACGUACAAGCAGUGGGAGCCUCUUAAUGGGGUGACUGCGUACCUUUUGUAUAAUGGGUCAGCGACUUAUAUUCUGUAGCAAGGUUAACCGAAUAGGGGAGCCGAAGGGAAACCGAGUCUUAACUGGGCGUUAAGUUGCAGGGUAUAGACCCGAAACCCGGUGAUCUAGCCAUGGGCAGGUUGAAGGUUGGGUAACACUAACUGGAGGACCGAACCGACUAAUGUUGAAAAAUUAGCGGAUGACUUGUGGCUGGGGGUGAAAGGCCAAUCAAACCGGGAGAUAGCUGGUUCUCCCCGAAAGCUAUUUAGGUAGCGCCUCGUGAAUUCAUCUCCGGGGGUAG